rnacentral:rRNA from 1 species
UCUAGGGCCAUACCACCCUGAACGCGCCCAAUCUCAUCUGAUCUCAGAAGCUAAGCAGGGUUGGGCCUGGUUAGUACUUGGAUUAGAGACUGGCUGGGAACACCGGGUGCCCCUAGGC